UACGUAGGGUGCAAGCGUUGUCCGGAAUUAUUGGGCGUAAAGAGCUCGUAGGCGGUUUGUCGCGUCUGCUGUGAAAACGCGAGGCUCAACCUCGCGCCUGCAGUGGGUACGGGCAGACUAGAGUGCGGUAGGGGAGAUUGGAAUUCCUGGUGUAGCGGUGGAAUGCGCAGAUAUCAGGAGGAACACCGAUGGCGAAGGCAGAUCUCUGAGCCGUAACUGACGCUGAGGAGCGAAAGCGUGGGGAUCAAACAGG
rnacentral:rRNA from 1 species